CCGGCCGGGGGACGGACUG
rnacentral:snRNA from 1 species